rnacentral:rRNA from 1 species
CACGUCUGUUUUGGGCAUGCGAGGGUUGGUGCCUGCGGCUUAAUUUGACUCAACACGGGAAAUCUCAUCAGGCCCGGACACCGUUAGGAUUGACAGAUUGAAAGCUCUUUCUCGAUUUGGUGGUUGGUGGUGCAUGGCCGUUCUUAGUUGGUGGAUCGAUUUGUCUGGUUAAUUCCGAUAACGAACGAGACUCUAGCCUACUAACUAGUUACUAAAUUUUAAAGUUUUAAGUCCUUCUGCCAGGGAUAGCGGUGUUUAACCGCGCGAUAUUGACCGAUAACAGGUCUGUGAUUCCUUUAAAUGUCACGGGCUGCUCCCACCCUACACAGAAAGAUCAAUCUGGUCCUCGUUUGCCCAAUGGAUUUGGUGAACCGUUGAAACUCUUCCGUGACCGGGAUAGGGAAUUGUAAUUGGUUCCCCUGACCGAGGAAUUCCUCGUACCUGUGAGUCGCCAGCUAAUGCUGAUUACAUCCCUGCCCUUUGAACAAACCAUCCGUCGCUGUCCGGAAUUGAACUGUUUCGUUAAAUAUGACGACGGCUGCUGUGAGGCUUCGGCUUCAUUGUGAUGGAAAUCACUUUAAUCGAGGGGCUUGAACCGGGCAAAAGUCGUAUCAAGGUUUCCCUAAGUGCGCUGGGAAGAUGACCGAACUUGAUCAUUUAGAGGAAGUAAAAAGUCGUAACAMGGUUUCCGUAGGUGACAUAUGGUUGCAAAGCUGAAACUUAAAAGAAUUGACGGAAGGGCACCACCAGGAUUCUGAGCGUGGGGGCGUAAUGUGACUAAGCUCAAAAAUAAUCAACUGGCCCGAGACACCACCACCAGGGGCAGAGCCUGAGGUUUAAUUUGAUUCAACACGUGAAAACUCACGCCGGCUGGUAGCUGGUAGGAUGAUUAGUUUGAAAGAUUUUUAUAACGAAGGUGAUUGUUGUUGCAUAACCGUUCGUAUUUUCGACAUCUCAAAGGGCGGCCGGCCCGGAGUACGAGCCGGGGUCGCGCGUAAUUAUUAGUGACUGAGUUCAAAAGUUUUGAUAAAUUGUGACAGGGAUAUUCGGUGUGCAACAGCAUGAGCAUUAACAAUUACAGGAUGCCCAUGCCUUUAGAUGUCCGCGCGCGCGCGCCAGUGACACUGGAAGAGUGUCUUCCUCCUCCAUCGGCCAAGGCACCCUUUACACCUCAAACUUUUCCGUGACCGGGGUAUGCAAUUUUUCCCCUUUCCCGAGGAAUUGGCAUUAAGCGUAAGUGUUAGUCUUGCGUUCACGAUGUCCAUGCCCUUGCCACACGCCCACCGUCCCUAUUACCGUCUGAAAGUUUUAUGUUUUUAUUCAAACCAGUACGGGUCCAAGUUUGCACUCCCUGUUGUACCAAAAAUCCGCUAGGGGUCGUGACAUGGUCGCAUAGAUUGAG